GACGAACGCUGGCGGCGUGCUUAACACAUGCAAGUCGAACGGUAAGGCCCUUCGGGGUACACGAGUGGCGAACGGGUGAGUAACACGUGGGUGAUCUGCCCUGCACUUCGGGAUAAGCCUGGGAAACUGGGUCUAAUACCGGAUAGGACCACUGCCUGCAUGGGUGGUGGUGGAAAGCUUUUGCGGUGUGGGAUGGGCCCGCGGCCUAUCAGUUUGUUGGUGGGGUGAUGGCCUACCAAGGCGACGACGGGUAGCCGGCCUGAGAGGGUGACCGGCCACACUGGGAAUGAGAUACGGCCCAGACUCCUACGGGAGGCAGCAGUGGGGAAUAUUGCACAAUGGGCGCAAGCCUGAUGCAGCGACGCCGCGUGAGGGAUGACGGCCUUCGGGUUGUAAACCUCUUUCAGCACCGACGAAGCGCAAGUGACGGUAGGUGCAGAAGAAGGACCGGCCAACUACGUGCCAGCCGCCGCCGUAA
rnacentral:rRNA from 1 species